GCCUUCGUGGUGUAGUGGUCAGCACGCUUGACGCGCAACCGAGAGGUCCGUGGUUCGAUUCCCGGCCGAGGCG
rfam:Stegodyphus mimosarum contig113805, whole genome shotgun sequence.